AUAGUGUUGUGCUCUCAAGGGUUUCAAUCCAUAAUCUUCUCGCGUACAUACUACCUAUGGAUACCUUGGAUCCAUCAUGACAUAACUAUGCUCAUUAGGUGAGUUUAUAAAUUAAGAAACAUGUUGUCUAAACAAACCAUAACAUGAAGGAGCCUAUAUGGCAGGGUUAAUAUCUUUUCUUGAUUUUCUUUGUUGCUGGUCUGCCACAAUCUCCUGUUCGAGCAAGUACCUUGCCAAGAUGGCAUGUUCUGACUGUUGUAGGUUAGUGAAAUGGCUUCUCAUGAACUUUUGUUCUUAUCCCCUUUCAGUCAGAUAGUUAUAUUGUGAACCCCUUGAUAAUGAAGCUCUCUGUGAAUUAUUAGAGCAUUUACAGUUUUCAUUGUAAAUCUGAAUGUUUUUGCAGGCAAUUGGUUUGUAAAAGCAAUGGCACCUGAUAACUAUUAAAGCAUUGGGUGUCGUUGUUGUUGCACUUUCUAGAAGUAUGGGGGUUGAUUUUCUGUCAAUUGUGCAUUAAAACUGACAACUACUAAAUUUCAGUGCCUUCUUUGACAAUUUUAGUUAAAUAGAAUGGUGUAUGAAAUUAUCGGUGUCACCUAGGAGUUAUCAUGGCUUGGUUGGAUAAUAGCAGUUUUACUGUGUUGAUAUUAACGUCAACACAAACAAACUCUCAUCUACGUUUGCUUCGUCUCCUACCAGGAAAUAAUGUGUGCAUACCUAUCCACUUAAACGCUGCCCGGGGCUACUAUGUACUCGGCCCCAACGAUAGAGUUUAACGGCGAGACACGCCGAUCUCACAACUUUCCAGCCAAUGCUGCUCACUGGCUCCAUCCUCCACUCAACGAGGAAAAGCUGAAUGCUUGAGGAAAAGAAACUAUGAGUUCUCUGCAUUUAAUCGACAUCGUUUUGGUUACUUCGAUUCUCCUCCUACAAUUUUUGCAUCGGCUGCCUGAUGUGAUGCUUUGUAUGAGAACAAGACUAAUAUGAUUUGUCUUUGCUGCAUGUACCAUUCGACUUAGUUGUACUCAGUAAGGAAUAUUUUAGAAAAUAAGUCCCAACAACGUGGAUGUCAGAUUUAUUAACUACUAUGGCUCUUGGUUUUGAAGAAUUUGAUUAUUGGGAUUUUAGUCAUGCCCUGACCACGUACAAUAGAUGUAGACACCAUUGUUGCUUCCUAUUUGCAUGUGAUUUAGAUAUUUGUAAACCUUAUCUGUACCAUUGAAUUAUGUUGGUAUGUAGGUCGCUCGAUAUGUUCAUCGAUGCUGUGGACAGCAAUUUUUAUUAUCGUUGCCCAUAUCUAUCUAAUUAGGUUUGUACGGCAAUUUGUUUUGUUUAUCAUAUUUAUCUAGAAAAUCAGAUUUAUGAAGCUUAUAAUUUAUUAGUUUUUCUGUAAUUUCCCUUUUUUUGCUGAUACUCCACUACUCAGGAUUAUAAGAGCAUCACCUUUGUGAGCAUUUUUCUUUCAGUUGUAGCAAGGUGUUAGUACGGUUCUACACAGAAAGCUGCACAGCAUGCCUAAUUUUGUACUUACCUUGCAGUUAUGUAGAUCUACUACAACUAUAUGAUGUCCUCAUAUCAGAACUUUGCAAGCAUGACAAAAUAUCAGCAUAUGAUUUUCGCCUCUUUUUUAUGUUCUGAAUUUCUGUAAUUUGAGACUUUGAGUGGGGAUUAAGAGCACGAUAAUUGCAAGGAUUUUCCUCUUCGGUUUUGUAAGUUAUUGGUGUUGUUCCAGUCCAUUACCGCAGAGCACGCCUUUGGUUAGAUCGUACAUUCAUAGUAGUUUGAUGUACUACGUUUCGGUUGGCAUAUAGGAUUCUUAUGGGGACAUGUGAUUCACUUUAUUUCGUUCUGUUUUCAGGCCGACGAAAUUGCUGGACUGGAAAAAAAACAGUGCGUAUAUAUGGUAAUUCUCAUUGCGAAAAAAAUCUGUGCGUAUAUAUGGUAAUUCUCAUUGCAACGUACAUCUUCCUCUAGAAAAGGCAUUGCUGUAAUAAUAAUUUCUAUAUAUUUUCUAAUAACUUCUGGUUGGACACUUGAGCUCGGUUAGUAAGUCUUUACUUUGAAAUAUAUUCACUAAUUGCGAAAUUAAUGUUUGUAUGCAGUUACAUGGUUUAAUAUUUUUUAGUACAAAAACAUGGUUGUCUAUAUGCAAGUCUAAGCAAUCUUUUGAAAAUACCUUUCUAUUUAAAGUGUCAGGAGAUUUCUUACUACAGAAACUAAUUUUCUAUAAAAUCCAUCGCUACUCUUUUGAAUAUUUUAUUUCCCCCAAUCAAAUGUAUGAUUUUCAGUAUUUUUAUCAUCUACGCCAACUUUAUAUGUAUUAAGUAAAGUCAUGUGCAUUUGUUAGGUCCUUGCAUGGAUUUUCUUGAUUAUUGGUAGUGUGGAAUAUUUUACUACCCCGAACUACAAAAAGAGGGGCGCAAAAUAUUUGACAGCUAACUCUGACCAUCAUUAGAGUAAACUAUGUUAUGGCAUGCGAGUUGGCAGGAUCAACAACUUAUCAGAACUUUCCUCCAGUUGCACUCAUAUGCUAAAGAUCAUAACAUCUCUGUUCUUAUGACUAAAUUACAUGAUGACACUAAUAUUUAUGAAUUAUUUCACAUCCCUGUGUUACCCAUUGCUGUACAACAGCUACAGGAGUUGAUACAGAGCUUCAACAUUGAGAAUGAUGCUAUUCAAUAAGACAGCUGGCCAUUUCACUUGGGUAAUGGAAAAUAAUGUACCAGAAACAAACCCUUAUUGGUGAUCCUCAGUCUGCUCCAGCACCAUUCAAAUGGAUACGGAAAUAUGCAUGCUUAAAAAAAGUUGACUGGCUUAUACAGGAGAGACUCAACACAAGAGAUCCGAUGAAGAGAGAUAAUUUCUUUGCUGAGUAUGAAAAAUGUUUUCUAUGUGAGGAAGGCACAGAUGAAACUAUGAUGUAUUUUUUAUCAUGUGCACCCAGUUAGAUUUUUGGUGGAAUCUAAGUAUUGAAUGGGAUGCUGAUAUGCUCAAUGAAGCAAAGAACAGGAAGAGCAUCAUAUGUUUCAAAAAGAUAAUAACCGGAUGUUGGUCUAUAUGGAAGCAUAGAAACAUCUUUGAUAACAAAGAUACUAAUAUAAAGACAUGCAUAUUCAAUUUCAAGAAGCAUUUUUGUAUCAUAAUGAAGAAGUCAAAGCCUAGCCUAAAGGAGUGAUAACACAUAGAAAGACAUGUAAUUUCUUUUCCUCUCCUGUACAUAUCCACAUGUACAUUAUCCAUCAUAUUAAUAGAAAAUGAGUCACAGUUGGGGUUUACCCUACUAUAUGUUGCUCAAAAAAAUUAUUCUAAAUAUUCGUAAGUCAUGUAACUUAUAAGUUGUACCCCUAAA
rnacentral:lncRNA from 1 species